CGGCGCGGCUAAUUCAAGAUGGCGGAGAUGGACCGGCUGUUUGAUGGGAGCUCUUCAGCUGAGGCACUUGUCAGUCUGAAAGAGGGCAGUCUGUCAAAUACUUUGAAUGAGAAGCAAACAAAAGCUCACAACACGAGAGGACGACACACCCUGGUGUCCAUGGAAACGGUGAGAUGACCAAUGUAGCCCUUCCUCCCGUCUAUUGCCUUGGAACUCUUUAGGGCUCAUGGAUUUUAUCUCUGGUAAUUCAACCAUUAUUGAUUAAGUCGGCAUUGACACUCUUAUCAGCACUUCCCAUGAGUUGAGCUGGGGAUUGCCACGGCCCUCACGAUAAGAUAUUAUCACAAUACUUUGUUGGUAUGAUAUGUAUUGCGAUUCUCAC
rnacentral:lncRNA from 1 species